ensembl:lncRNA novel transcript
GCCGCUGCUGUAGUUCCCCGGCUGGAUGCGGUGACUGGUGCCAGUGCUCAGGCGCCCGCUGCCCUUGACCUCCCGCCCCGCGAGCCCUAACUCAGCGCAGGAGGACCGGCUGCCGCCGCCGCCGCCGCCAGGUAGACCAGGCCUGGCUGGGUUAGGCCAGAAGGGUGUCCCUGGCGCAGGUCUCCCGCGGAGGGCAGAACUAGAACCAGGUUCCCGGCCGUUUCCGACCACACGGAUGGGGCGGACCCAUAGCCUUGGCUGCCCAGUUGCCAGUCCUACCACGGUCGGAGGUAACCUUCCUGGCUCCAGUCACAUGGCCAGAUAAGGUGGUGUGUGUGGGCAUGAAUUAUGUGGACCACUGCAAAGAACAGAACGUGCCCGUGCCCAAGGAGCCCAUCAUCUUCAGCAAGUUUGCCAGCUCCAUCGUGGGGCCCUAUGAUGAGGUGGUCCUCCCACCACAGAGCCAGGAGGUAGAUUGGGAAGUGGAGCUGGCCGUGGUCAUUGGAAAGAAAGGCAAGCACAUCAAGGUGAAGUGGAAAAGGUGGGCUCCCAGGCCAGAGUGCAGCAGAGUCCCCAGCUCCUGCCUCUCCUAGUUCUGACCUCGCUCACCAACACAUGGUGCCAGCUGUCCCUGACACUAGGAAGCAGUCAGCCUCCUUGCUCCCUGACACUGCCUUUCCCUUCACCCACCUUUGGCUGGCUCUGGCUACUAACAUGGGAUAACAGCUUUGAGAUCCCUUGCCACAGGUGUUGGUGUCACCCAUGAUCUAUCCUCCUGUAUGGCCAAAUCCCCUGCCCCCAUAGGCCACAGAUGCCAUGGCCCACGUGGCCGGCUUCACUGUGGCUCAUGACGUGAGUGCUCGUGACUGGCUAACAAGAUGCAAUGGGAAACAGUGGCUGCUGGGAAAAACCUUCGACACCUUCUGCCCUCUGGGCCCUGCCUUGGUGACCAAGGACAGUGUAGCAGAUCCACACAACUUAAAGAUCUGCUGUCGAGUGAAUGGGGAAGUGGUCCAGAGCAGCAACACCAACCAGAUGGUAUUCAAGACAGAGGACCUGAUAGCCUGGGUGUCCCAGUUUGUUACCUUUUACCCAGGGGAUGUCAUCCUGACUGGGACCCCCCCACCUCCACCCAGGUGUCGGUGUAUUCAGGAAACCUCCUGUCUUUCUCAAGGUCUCUGAAGGUCCAGACAGCACUGAUGGCGAGCUUUGGGUCCGCACACUCUGGAAAGAAGAGAGAAGUGAAGGCUCUAGGUAGGGAGAACAGAGAGCCACUGGGCACAGGCUUCUCUCCUCUUGUUUAAAGAAGCCCAGGGAGGGAUAGAGCUCUGACUGGACAGAAGACUGUACUCUGCAGCCUGCCUUCCUAGAGUUGGGUUGUCACUGUCCUGCAGGGGGCAGCAGCCACCAGCAAACACCACUGCCUGCAGGAGCCUGGGCUGACUGGUUGGGACUCACCGAAGAUCCCUUCUUCCUGGGCGGUGGCCUGCAGGAACUGGAACAGCUGCUCUGUGUAGCCCAACUCUGCAGAAGAGAGAAGACCUAGACCUGGCACCCAGCACAGACACAGCCUGCCUCGAGGACUGCAAGGGAACAAGGGCCUCACCAGUAUCGGGCAGCUGGCCCUGGCGGAGGAAGGCGGCAGCCUGUGCAAAGGCCUUGAGCAGCGGGCUGAGCAGGCGGCAGAGGAAAAGAAAGAAAUCUGGGCAGUGUGACUGCUGGCUGAGCUGGAGGGGACAGGCCGGGGUGAGUGCAGCUCCCCACCGCCUCCCUACCACCUCCCUCCAGGGGCAGCUUUUUGAAACACACCCUGAAGUACCGGCCGUCAGCCUCUCCGAAGUCAUCACUGUCACUAUCAGUAAAGUCCCCACUCGGUUUCCACA